rnacentral:lncRNA from 1 species
AUUUCACUUAAAGGUCUUUCUGAGCUUCCUCUUAAAAACAAUUUGGUGAGAUUGCUGUGGGUGAGCUUAUGACACCACAAAGCAUCUGCUGGGAGCUUUGGCUCUGCUGUGGCGUGUCGAAGCAGCAUCUGGAAGACUUGUGUAUCUUACUCCUAGGAUACGUCAUCUGGGGGCCCAGCCCGUGCUUACCCAGUUGGUGGCCUGUGUUACUACCUGUCUCCUCCGGAAUCAUUCGGCUCAGUGCUGGAGGACCCUGUCCAUGCGGUCGUGUACAUUGUAUUCAUGCUGGGUUCCUGUGCAUUCUUUUCCAAAACAUGGAUCGAAGUUUCGGGUUCUUCUGCCAAAGAUGUAAGUCUAAGCCCACAUUCCUGCUAGAGAUAAGGGCAGCUGCUGGCAUCCAGGGAGCUCCACUUGUUACCACUGUGCAUAUAGUAUAUGGUAUAAGCCGUCCAUUCUACAGUUGGAUCAUCCCUCUGGGGCAGUGUGGAAGCCCCAAGGGCAACCAGUGGAGAUUAACAGAGUUGGCUCUGACAGCCUGAGGCCAUAGUAGAAAGAGAGACUAUUGUGUGAGUGAGUGU